GGGGAAUGGGGCAUGCAUUUUGCCUCCUCUUAUACUGUUUUUGGGCAUAUUUUUUCAGCAUUCUUUCCAGAUUCUGGUUAAUGUUGUUUAGUGUUUAACCAAAUGUGGCUCAAGUUAAAUCCAUUUCUUGUGUCAUGUCUCUUAUUUACUCCACUAGAUGAAAACAGUACUAUAAAGAAACCACAACAGAAGAGUUCAGGAGAAAUUCACAGAGCAGAGCAUGGAAACAUCACUAAGAAUAAUAAUAUGCUGCUUCUUUACAUGCAGCCAAACACUGAGGGCACUUCUAGACAGCAGGAAAUUGCAGGCAAAAAUGGAUUAAAGAAAUCCCUCCCCCCUCCCCUUCUCCUCAUGUGCCAUUUUGGUGAGCCAGAAGAACCUCCA
rnacentral:lncRNA from 11 species